UACAGAGGUCCCAAGCGUUGUUCGGAUUCACUGGGCGUAAAGGGUGCGUAGGUGGUGAGGUAAGUUGGGUGUGAAAGCUCGGGGCUUAACCCCGAAACGGCAUUCAAAACUACUUUGCUAGAGGGUCGGAAGGGAGACUGGAAUUCUCGGUGUAGCGGUGAAAUGCGUAGAUAUCGAGAGGAACACCAGUGGCGAAAGCGAGUCUCUGGACGACACCUGACACUGAGGCACGAAAGCUAGGGGAGCAAACAGG
rnacentral:rRNA from 1 species